ACCGGCGCACGGGUGCGUAACGCGUAUGCAACCUACCUAUCACAUGGGGAUAGCCUCUAGAAAUGGAGAUUAAUACCCAAUGGUAUCUAAAUAUUGCAUGAUAUUAAGAUUAAAGAUUUAUCGGUGAUAGAUGGGCAUGCGUGACAUUAGCUAGUUGGUAAGGUAACGGCUUACCAAGGCGACGAUGUCUAGGGGAUCUGAGAGGACUACCCCCCACACUGGUACUGAGACACGGACCAGACUCCUACGGGAGGCAGCAGUGAGGAAUAUUGGUCAAUGGAGGCAACUCUGAACCAGCCAUGCCGCGUGCAGGAUGACGGCCCUAUGGGUUGUAAACUGCUUUUAUAUGAGAAGAAAAGCAUCUACGUGUAGAUGUCUGACGGUAUCAUAGGAAUAAGCACCGGCUAACUCCGUGCCAACAGCCGCGGUAAUACGGAGGGUGCAAGCGUUAUCCGGAUUUAUUGGGUUUAAAAGGUCCGUAGGCGGGCUUAUAAGUCAGAGGUGAAAGCCCACAGCUCAACUGUGGAACUGCCUUUGAUACUGUAGGU
rnacentral:rRNA from 1 species